UUUUAGUUAGAGUUUGAUCCUAGCUCAGGAUGAACGCUGGCGGCGUGGAUAAGGCAUGCAAGUCGAACGGACCAAGCACAUAACGCGAGAGAUGAAGUAGUAAUAUGGAUUUUCAAGAUGUUAUGUGCUUGGUUAGUGGCGAACGAGGUAGUAAUACAUAGGAACUUCCCCCAGAGUCGUGAAUAAUCCGUCGAAAGACGGACUAAUACACGAUGGUCUCGCAAGAGUAAAGUUUUAACGCUCUGGGAAAGGCCUGUGCGAUAUCAGCUAGUUGGCAGUGUAAUGGACUACCAAGGCAAUGACGUCUAGGGGAGGUGAGAGCCUGACCCCCACCGAUGGUACUGAGACACGGACCAUACACCUACGGGUGGCUGCAGUCGAGAAUCUUCCACAAUGGACGAAAGUCUGAUG
rnacentral:rRNA from 1 species